rnacentral:rRNA from 1 species
GACGAACGCUGGCGGCGUGCUUAACACAUGCAAGUCGAACGGAAAGGCCCUGCUUUUGUGGGGUGCUCGAGUGGCGAACGGGUGAGUAACACGUGAGUAACCUGCCCUUGACUUUGGGAUAACUUCAGGAAACUGGGGCUCAUACCGGAUAGGAGCUCCUGCUGCAUGGUGGGGGUUGGAAAGUUUCGGCGGUUGGGGAUGGACUCGCGGCUUAUCAGCUUGUUGGUGGGGUAGUGGCUUACCAAGGGUUUGACGGGUAGCCGGCCUGAGAGGGUGACCGGCGACAUUGGGACUGAGAUACGGCCCAGACUCCUACGGGAGGCAGCAGGGGGGAAUAUUGCACAAUGGGCGGAAGCCUGAGGCAGCAACCCCGCGUGCGGGAUGACGGCUUUCGGGUGGUAAACCGCUUUCGCCUGUAACGAAGCGUGAGUGACGGUAAUGGGUAAAGAAGCACCGGCUAACUACGUG